rnacentral:rRNA from 1 species
AUUGAACGCUGGCGGAAUGCUUUACACAUGCAAGUCGAACGGCAGCACGGGGGCAGCCCUGGUGGCGAGUGGCGAACGGGUGAGUAAUACAUCGGAACGUGCCCGGUCGUGGGGGAUAACGUAGCGAAAGUUACGCUAAUACCGCAUACGAUCUGAGGAUGAAAGCGGGGGACCUUCGGGCCUCGCGCGAUCGGAGCGGCCGAUGUCAGAUUAGGUAGUUGGUGGGGUAAAGGCCUACCAAGCCGACGAUCUGUAGCUGGUCUGAGAGGACGACCAGCCACACUGGGACUGAGACACGGCCCAGACUCCUACGGGAGGCAGCAGUGGAGAAUUUUGGACAAUGGGCGCAAGCCUGAUCCAGCCAUUCCGCGUGCAGGACGAAGGCCUUCGGGUUGUAAACUGCUUUUGUACGGAACGAAAAGGCUCUGGCUAAUACCUGGGGCUCAUGACGGUACCGUAAGAAUAAGCACCGGCUAACUACGUG